rnacentral:tRNA from 1 species
GCCCAAAAGGUUUUUGACAAUCUAAAGAGGGACUCUUAAUCCCAGGGUCGUGGGUUCGAGCCCCACGUUGGGCG